rnacentral:rRNA from 1 species
AGCGAACGCUGGCGGCAGGCCUAACACAUGCAAGUCGAGCGCCCGUAGCGAUACGGGAGCGGCAGACGGGAGAGUAACACGUGGGAACGUACCCUUUGGUUCGGAACAACACAGGGAAACUUGUGCUAAUACCGGAUAAGCCCUUACGGGGAAAGAUUUAUCGCCAAAGGAUCGGCCCGCGUCUGAUUAGCUAGUUGGUGGGGUAACGGCUCACCAAGGCGACGAUCAGUAGCUGGUCUGAGAGGAUGACCAGCCUCAUUGGGACUGAGACACGGCCCAAACUCCUACGGGAGGCAGCAGUGGGGAAGUAUUGGACAAUGGGCGCAAGCCUGAUCCAGCCAUGCCGCGUGGAUGAUGAAGGCCUUAGGGUUGUAAAGUCCUUUUAACGGGAAGAUAAUGACGGUACCCGUAGAAUAAGCCCCGGCUAACUUCGU